rnacentral:lncRNA from 1 species
CCCAUCUCUGCAGAUUCCCCCGCCCCCAUCUCUGCAGAUUCCCCCGCCCCCAACUGCCCGCUACAGCUCUUUCCUUGUGCCUCACAGCAGCCGGUCCCACUUCCUGCAUCGCCACCAAUGUGGCCCAGGCCACCAGCCCCCGUGACACUGCAGCCAUCCCCUUUGCUCCCCGUCGUGGCCUCCCGACCGAGCAGCCAGAGUGACCCCGAAAGCCUAAAUCAGCCUGCGGCGCCCUCACCCGUCCUCCAGCUGCCAUCGCCUCCUGGGUGAAGAGGACGCAGGUCGCAGCCCCCGCAGCUCUGCCCCUCUGCCCUCCGGCCAGGCCGCCCCGCUGUCCCCCUUGCUGUCCACCUCUCUGUCCACCCCUGCUGUCCCCCCCCGCUGUCCCCCCCGCUGUCACACCCCCGCUGUCCCCCCCCCGCUGUCCCCCCUGUUGUCCCCCCGCUGUCCCUCCCGCUGUCCCUCCGGCGAGGAGGCUUCUGCACGUUCUGCGUGGGCCUCUCCCCGGGGCCGCCCCAGGUCUCCCCUGACGCCCACACCCACCACCAGGCUGUUGUGCGGGACCUUCCUUCUCUGCCUCUCCAGCUGGUGACGCGCACUGACGUCCUGCAAGGCCCGCUCCAGGUGCGCCACCUUUGACUGGCAUGCUGAAAGGACAAAGGGACGGAGGCAUUUUACCGGAGAGGACAUCCAUGGGGCCCAGCAGGUCAAAUUCCUUUCUCUAAGUAUGGGAGACAUUUUUAAAAAUAAUGGAGUCCUCCAGGGCCGGCUGCGUGCUGUGGCCUGUGCUCCUCACUGCUUUGGACCCAGGCUGCGCUGUCUCCACCACGACCAAGGACUCACAGAGCUCGCCUGGGGGACCUGGCCCCACAGUCACCCCGUCCGUCAUCAGCCUCAAAUGCCAUCAGCCCGUGAAUGCUGCUCCAUCGUCUGCAUGGCAGCCAAGGAGGUCUCUGCUCCUAAAGCACCUGGGAGCCCUUGGUGAGGGGGGAGUGGGGCAGGGAAGGAGAUGCUGGGGCCCAGCUCUGCUGCUGUGGAUUGUUACAGUGGCCUGGGCCUCUACUCCCGCCUCUGUCCUACCAGGAUGGUGCCAGGUGAUGUGGCGAUGAGUGGGCAUCGCGUGGGGGCCUUGGACGAGCGUGGACACCCCAAUCCCCAGACUGGCCAUUGCCGUGGAGGCAGCGUGAGUGUGACAUGGAGCUCGGUGUCGUGCUGCAGAGGACGCCUCGCGGCUGUACGCGUCAUGAUAGCCAGGGACCCCUCCACAUGUCACUUAGCCAAAGGAUGCAGCCCAGCCUGGGGCUUUCUACCCCAGGCCCGAGGACCUGCAGGGACAAGGACCCCUCAGCGCAGAUGCAGCUCUCAUGAGGCCUGAAACCAAGCUGGACUUGCAGAACUGCGCACGCUCCCUUUCUGAAAGAAACACCCGUUACCGGGUCCAGACUGAAUGUGGGCGUAAGAAAGCGGGAAGGGUCCCCCACAGCAAGAGAGAGACCCUCCCAGUCACUUGGUCAUCUGAGCCUUGAGUGUGUCCGGCCCCAGCCACCAGCCUGUCCCCACUAUCCCUCUUGUCAGCACGGCUGAAAGGAGCUGCCUGGGCACCUGAGGUGGCUGAGGCUCAUCUUUGAGGAGCAUGGAACUCGAGGGGAGAAGUCGCGCCCCCAGGGAAGCCAGGCCCUCCGACGGUGGCUCCGUGCCCUCAAAAGAAGGAUGAUCCCUUCCUGGUCCCGCCUGACCCGGGGGAGCUCGGCCCCUGCUGUGCUGUCAGCCUCGCCCCGGCCGCCCGCGCUGACCCCCGCCCGGCUCACAGCACCGCUGGCCGCAGCCUCUCACCGAGAGCUCCUGCCCUCAGCCUCCAGCCGGAGAAGGACUCCCCAUCCCAGCAGAGCUCAGCUCAGCGGGCACGCGCACGACGCAGAAAUCCUUGAUUUCUCAGGUUAGGCGACGGCUGAAUUAUAAACACGGGCCUCGCUGGACCACGGACCCGCCAGGUUCUCCCGCAACUUGCGGAGCUCCUGGACCGGCCCUUCCCAGAGGCGCAGCGCUGAGUCCCAGGAGCAGGACCUGAACCAGGAAGGGGAGGGGCGAGCACAGUCCUGCCUCCUCCUCCCCGCACAGUGCUGGGGGAAUGACCCCCACUGCCUUCUUCUCCUCCCCCAACACUGCAGGGGGAAUGACCCCCACUGCCUCCUCCUCCCAACACACUGCAGGGGGAAUGACCCCCACUGUCUUCUCCUCCCAACACACUGCAGGGGGAAUGACCCCCACUGUCUUCUCCUCCCAACACACUGCAGGGGGAAUGACCCCCACUGCCUCCUCCUCCCAACACACUGCAGGGGGAAUGACCCCCACUGUCUUCUCCUCCCCCCACACUGCAGGGGGAAUGACCCCCACUGUCUUCUCCUCCCCCCACACUGCAGGGGGAAUGACCCCCACUGUCUUCUCCUCCCCACACACUGCAGGGGGAAUGACCCCCACUGCCUCCUCCUCCCAACACACUGCAGGGGUAAUGACCCCCACUGCCUCCUCCUUCCCCACACACUGCAGGGGGAAUGACCCCCACUGCCUUCUCCUCCCCCAACACUGCAGGGGGAAUGACCCCCACUGCCUCCUGCUCCCCACACACACACUGCAGGGGGAGUGACCCCCAUAUUUUAAUGCAGUGGUUUCUCUGGUCACUCACGGUCCAGCACUAGCACGCAGCAGUCGGGGAAAUGCUGUGGGUAUGAGACGGCCUGGAUUUUGAAGGCGCUGCAUGAAAAAGAAUGUAGAGAAUCUGAAUGCAUUUUAUGUAUAGAUUGCAUGUUGAAAUGAUGCUGUUGGGAUAUAUUAG